rnacentral:rRNA from 1 species
GACGAACGCUGGCGGCGUGCCUAAUACAUGCAAGUCGAACGCAGUGGGGACGGGUGAGUAAAACGUGGGUAACCUCCCAUCAGACGGGAUAACACUUGGAAACAGGUGCUAAACUGAUACUGAUGGAUGGAGCCGCGGUGCAUUAGCUAGUUGGUGAGGUAACGGCUCACAAAGGCCACGAGGCCUAGCCGACCGGAGAGGGUGAUGGGCCACACUGGGACUGAGAAACGGCCCAGACGCCUACGGGAGGCAGCAGUAGGGAAGCUUCGGCAAUGGACGAAAGUCUGACCGAGCAACGCCGCGUGGUUGAAGAAGGUUUGCGGGUCGUAAAACGCUGUUGUUAGAGAAGCGGUAUCUAACCAGGAAGCCACGGCUAACUACGUGCCAGCCGCCGCGGUAAUAC